rnacentral:lncRNA from 1 species
CAGUACAUGCAGAUGAUCUAUUCAAAGUGUGAAUAUUUACUAUUUUGAUUCAUCUCCAUGGAAGAGGAACCCACUAGCUGCUUCUAGUCAGCCAUCUUGAACCAGAAGCCCUUAUUUUACUUUUAUUUGUACUUUUUCUUUCAAAAAACUUUUUAAAUAUGUCAUUAAAAUGGUAAAUUUGCAAGUUUAAGUGAAAUCUAGUUUAGAAUUGAU